UGUUGGAUCUUACUAGAUACUUUGGAAAUAGAAACAAAGCCAGAUAUUUUGUCUUUGUAAAAUGCAGUUUUCCAAAGUAAAGAGAACAUAUUAUCUUGUCAGUGGUGAGUUCUUGGCCAUUUUUCCUUUUUAUCAAUUAAGAUAGAUGCUGAAUAACUUGAAUAGGAAACCACACAAAUAAGCCAUCAAUAAAGGGUUCUAUGUUCAGCUGAUGAGAUUCUUUCCAAGGCUGUUGCCAUGUUUCAUGGUACUGAGCUGGUUGUUUGUUAAUUUUGAGCUUAUUGUUUUACUGGCUCAACCUAGAACCCCGGGAUUGAUGACUUAUAUUGCUAUGAAUCUGUAGAUUCUUCAACCUUUUAUUGCUACUCCGUGUGGUGACGAUAGAAAUUAUCUGUAACUUCUUAAAGUGAUAGUUGUGAUAUCAACUUUGUUAGAGUGAAGUCCGGCCAAUUUGAAUGAAAUCGACCAAACAAUAUCAUAUGCUUGUCAUUUUGCUGAUUCUCUAUGCUAUAGAUUGACACGGUCAUUCUGAAAUAUGGUACACAACAAUUUUGAAAAGCUUCGUUUCAGCAAUACAAAUUAUUACUCUUUUACGUUACGGAUUGUGAACACCACUUGUCUGAUUAUGACGUCUUGCGAAUAUGACAAGUCCUGAAAGAUCGUUCUUGUUUCAAGUCUUAACAUUGAGUGGCUAAGUUAUCCUGUUCCAAAGAAACAGAAGGUCUUAACAUUGAGUGGUAUUACUCUAUACCCAUUAGCUUUUGCGUUCGCUAAACGAUUCUUCGGUAACUGCAAGUAAAGGAGGGACCAGCAAAGACGUUUUGUUUUUGCAAUUUCUGUUUGGCCUGUUAAUAUUUUGGGGGAUGCUUUGCUUUUGUAUAGUUACCAGUUGCUAACAUUGAAAAUCAGUUUGCUCUCUCUGAGAUUUUCUUCCUUCCUGAAAGGUUCAUGUUCUGAUCAAUAGCUCAGGAUAUAUCAAAGCCAUUGUAUAUGUAUUGUCUAAUUGUUUAUUUUCUGUGCAAGUGGCUUUUGUUACUGAAGGACAUGUGAAAACAUAUGGAUAUUUAUCUUCACUUCUCUUGACUUUUCUUGGUUCACAUUCUUUUGGUGUCCUAUACCGCAAUACAACUGUCUUAACCCAACAGGAUUAUCGCUAGUUAUUAAUGAAUUUUAGUCCUAUUAUUUGGGUGAGUGUUUCUGAGAUUACUGUCUCUGGUUCAGUCUUUAAGUUAAUUCGAAUAUUUCGUCGCAAAUGCCGAACUGCCAAUUAACGACAAUAUUAUUUUUCCUUUUUUCUUCCU